UGUAGAUCACAACAUCAGCCU
rnacentral:siRNA from 1 species